rnacentral:rRNA from 1 species
GAACGAUGAAGCCCAGCUUGCUGGGUGGAUUAGUGGCGAACGGGUGAGUAACACGUGAGUAACCUGCCCCUGACUCUGGGAUAAGCCCGGGAAACUGGGUCUAAUACCGGAUAUGACUUUUGACCGCAUGGUUGAGGGUGGAAAGAUUUAUCGGUUGGGGAUGGACUCGCGGCCUAUCAGCUUGUUGGUGAGGUAAUGGCUCACCAAGGCGACGACGGGUAGCCGGCCUGAGAGGGUGACCGGCCACACUGGGACUGAGACACGGCCCAGACUCCUACGGGAGGCAGCAGUGGGGAAUAUUGCACAAUGGGCGCAAGCCUGAUGCAGCGACGCCGCGUGAGGGAUGACGGCCUUCGGGUUGUAAACCUCUUUCAGUAGGGAAGAAGCGAAAGUGACGGUACCUGCAGAAGAAGCGCCGGCUAACUACGUGCCAGCAGCCGCGGUAAUACGUAGGGCGCAAGCGUUAUCCGGAUUUAUUGGGCGUAAAGAGCUCGUAGGCGGUUUGUCGCGUCUAUCGUGAAAGUCCGAGGCUCAACCUCGGAUCUGCGGUGGGUACGGGCAGACUAGAGUGAUGUAGGGGAGACUGGAAUUCCUGGUGUAGCGGUGAAAUGCGCAGAUAUCAGGAGGAACACCGAUGGCGAAGGCAGGUCUCUGGGCAUUUACUGACGCUGAGGAGCGAAAGCAUGGGGAGCGAACAGGAUUAGAUACCCUGGUAGUCCAUGCCGUAAACGUUGGGCACUAGGUGUGGGGGACAUUCCA